ACGAAGGGUGCAAGCGUUGUUCGGAUUUAUUGGGCGUAAAGCGUACGCAGGCGGAUUAGUAAGUCAGAUGUGAAAUCUCGGGGCUCAACCUCGAAACUGCGUCUGAAACUACUAGUCUAGAAUAUCGGAGAGGGAAGUGGAAUAUCGCAUGUAGGGGUAAAAUCCGUAGAGAUGCGAUGGAACACCAGAGGCGAAGGCGGCUUCCUGGACGAUUAUUGACGCUGAGGUACGAAAGCGUGGGGAGCGAACAGG
rnacentral:rRNA from 1 species